rnacentral:rRNA from 1 species
UGCCCGAAGGGUGACGAAGCGACGCCGCGUGGGUGAGGAAGGCCUUCGGGUUGUAAAGCCCUGUCAGGAGUUAAGAAAUGUAGACUCGCUAAUAUCGGGUCUAUUUGACAAAGGCUCCAAAGGAAGCCACGGCUAACUCUGUGCCAGCAGCCGCGGUAAUACAGAGGUGGCAAGCGUUGUUCGGAAUUAUUGGGCGUAAAGAGCACGUAGGUGGAUUUGUAAGUCAGACGUGAAAGCCUUCUGUUCAACGGAAGAAUUGUAUCUGAAACUACAAACCUUGAGUGUAGGAGGGGAGAAUGGAACUUCUGGUGGAGCGGUGAAGUGCGUAGAUAUCAGAAGGAACGCCGGCGGCGAAAGCGAUUCUCUGGCCUAUUACUGACACUCAGUGUGCGAAAGCUAGGGGAGCAAACGGGAUUAGAUACCCCGGUAGUCCUAGCCGUAAACGAUGGGCACUAAGUAGAGGGGU